rnacentral:rRNA from 1 species
GACGAACGCUGGCGGCGUGCCUAAUACAUGCCAGUAGAACGCACAGUUUAUACCGUAGCUUGCUACACCAUAAACUGUGAGUUGCGAACGGGUGAGUAACGCGUAGGUAACCUGCCUGGUAGCGGGGGAUAACUAUUGGAAACGAUAGCUAAUACCGCAUAAUAUUGAUUAUUGCAUGAUAAUUGAUUGAAAGAUGCUAUUGCAUCACUACCAGAUGGACCUGCGUUGUAUUAGCUAGUAGGUGAGGUAACGGCUCACCUAGGCGACGAUACAUAGCCGACCUGAGAGGGUGAUCGGCCACACUGGGACUGAGACACGGCCCAGACUCCUACGGGAGGCAGCAGUAGGGAAUCUUCGGCAAUGGACGAAAGUCUGACCGAGCAACGCCGCGUGAGUGAAGAAGGUUUUCGGAUCGUAAAGCUCUGUUGUAAGAGAAGAACGGGUGUGAGAGUGGAAAGUUCACACUGUGACGGUAUCUUACCAGAAAGGGACGGCUAACUACGU